rnacentral:rRNA from 1 species
AGGGAAUCUUCCGCAAUGGACGAAAGUCUGACGGAGCAACGCCGCGUGAGUGAUGAAGGUUUUCGGAUCGUAAAACUCUGUUGUUAGGGAAGAACAAGUAUCGUUCGAAUAGGGCGGUACCUUGACGGUACCUAACCAGAAAGCCACGGCUAACUACGUGCCAGCAGCCGCGGUAAUACGUAGGUGGCAAGCGUUGUCCGGAAUUAUUGGGCGUAAAGCGCGCGCAGGCGGUUUCUUAAGUCUGAUGUGAAAGCCCACGGCUCAACCGUGGAGGGUCAUUGGAAACUGGGAGACGUGAGUGCAGAAGAGGAGAGUGGAAUUCCACGUGUAGCGGUGAAAUGCGUAGAGAUGUGGAGGAACACCAGUGGCGAAGGCGACUCUCUGGUCUGUAACUGACGCUGAGGCGCGAAAGCGUGGGGAGCGAAC